rnacentral:rRNA from 1 species
UACAGAGACUGCAAGCGUUAUUCGGAUUCACUGGGCGUAAAGGGUGCGCAGGCGGCCGUGUGUGUGAGGCGUGAAAGCCCGGAGCUCAACUCCGGAAUUGCACCUCAAACUACACGGCUAGAGCAUUGGAGAGGGUAGCGGAAUUCACGGUGUAGCAGUGAAAUGCGUAGAUAUCGUGAGGAACACCAAAGGCGAAGGCGGCUACCUGGACAAUUGCUGACGCUCAGGCACGAAAGCGUGGGGAGCAAAAGGG